rnacentral:rRNA from 1 species
CACUUCUAAGGAAGGCAGCAGGCGCGCAAAUUACCCAAUCCUGACUCAGGGAGGUAGUGACAAGAAAUAACAAUAAACCGGCUUAUGCCGGUUUAAUUGGAAUGAGUACAAUUUAAACAUCUUAACGAGGAACAAUUGGAGGGCAAGUCUGGUGCCAGCAGCCGCGGUAAUUCCAGCUCCAAUAGCGUAUACUAAAGUUGUUGCAGUUAAAAAGCUCGUAGUUGGAUUUCUGUGGGGACGGAGCGGCCGGCCGCAACUCGCGGUUCGAGCUAGCGCUUUCCCUACAUCCUGCCGCGAACCGUGCUACCAUUAGUUUGGUGGCGCUGGGGAUCGGCUCGAUUACUUUGAGAAAAAUAGAGUGUUCAAAGCAGGCCACAUGCCUUGAAUAAGUUAGCAUGGAAUAAUAACUAAGGACUUCGGUUCUAUUUUGUUGGUGUUCGGGACUGAAGUAAUGAUUGAUAGGGACAGUUGGGGCGGUCUGUAUUCCAAAGCGAGAGGUGAAAUUCUUAGACCUUCGGAAGACAAACAGCUGCGAAAGCGUUCCGCAAGGAUGUUCCCUUUGAUCAAGAACGAAAGUUGGGGGAUCGAAGACGAUCAGAUACCGUCGUAGUCUCAACUAUAAACUAUACCAGCUAGGGAUCGGCCAACGUUAUUUUAUACCGACUUGGUCGGCACCUUAUGAGAAAUCAAAGCAUCUGGGUUCCGGGGGGAGUAUGGUCGCAAGGCUGAAACUUAAAGGAAUUGACGGAAGGGCACCACCAGCCGUGGAGCCUGUGGCUUAAUUUGACUCAACACGGGAAAACUUACCAGGUCCGGACAUAGUAAGGAUUGACAGAUUGAUAGCUCUUUCUUGAUUCUGUGGGUGGUGGUGCAUGGCCGUUCUUAGUUGGUGGAGUGAUUUGUCUGGUUAAUUCCGUUAACGAACGAGACCCCAGCCUGCUAAAUAGCGCGCGUGAGCUUUGCUCGCGGCGAGCUUCUUAGAGGGACUAUGAUGCGCGAUAGCACAUGGAAGUUUGGGGCAAUAACAGGUCUGUGAUGCCCUUAGAUGUUCUGGGCCGCACACGGGCUACACUGGCGCCUGCAACGAGCAUAUCAGCUGGCCCGAGAGGGUCUUGGCUAAUCUUUUGAACCGGCGCCGUGCUUGGGAUUGACCUUUGCAAUUGUUGGUCAUGCAACGAGGAAUGCCUUGUAAACGCGAGUCAUCAGCUCGCAUUGAAUACGUCCCUGCCCUUUGUACACACCGCCCGUCGCUCCUACCGAUGAAUGUUCCGAUGAAAUUUUCGGAGAGCACCUGUGAACUUGGCUCUGCCUUGCGAACGGGAGGCUCAAAGUCACUUAAAUCUGAACAUU